rnacentral:rRNA from 1 species
GCAUCUGUGCAUGCAGCAUAUCAAUAAGCGGAGGAAAAGAAACUAACAAGGAUUCCCUUAGUAACGGCGAGUGAAGCGGGAAGAGCUCAAAUUUGAAAUCUUCAAGGUUUUACCUUGACGAAUUGUAGUUUAAAGAAGUGUUUUCUGUUGAAGUUUUGGUAAAAGUUCUUUGGAAUAGGACAUCAUAGAGGGUGAGAAUCCCGUAUUUGACCAUUAUUUUCAGCUGUGUGAUACACUUUCAAAGAGUCGGAUUGUUUGGGAAUGCAGUCCAAAAUGGGUGGUAAAUUUCAUCUAAAGCUAAAUAUUGGCGAAGAGACCGAUAGCGAACAAGUACCGUGAGGGAAAGAUGAAAAGAACUUUGAAAAGAGAGUUAAACAGUACGUGAAAUUGUCAAAAGGGAAGCGUUUGACACCAGUGUUGUUUUCUCGAAAAUCAAUUAAAAAGAGUUAGAUUUUGUUGUGUAUUGACCUUAACAGCUUGCAUUUCAAUUUUCUUGCUUUUUUUAAUGCACUUUUCGUUUAACAAGUCAACAUCAGUUUCUUUUGUUGUAAAAAGGUCAUUGGAAGGUGGCUUUCUUUUCGGAGAAAGUGUUUAUAGCCUUUGACUCCUGCAAUCGGGAGAGACUGAGGUCUGCAGCGUAGAUCCUUCGGGGUUAGAUACAUUUGUGCUAAGUUAUAGCUUUUUAUAGACAACUUGUUGACUAUGAUUAGUCUUGUAGCUUACUCGCUUAUGCUAUUUUACCUACGCUUAGGAUGUUGACGCGCGUGUGUGCGUG